rnacentral:rRNA from 1 species
CGCACGGGUGAGUACACGUGAGUGACCUGCCUUUUAGACUGGAACAACUUACCGAAAGGUGAGCUAAUGCCGGAUGAGUUAUAUAAGUGCAUGUUUAUAUAGGAAAAGUUGGGGAGACCUGACGCUGAAAGAUGGACUCGCGUCCCAUUAGCUAGUUGGUAGGGGUAAUGGCCUACCAAGGCGACGAUGGGUAGCCGGCCUGAGAGGGUGGCCGGCCACACUGGGACUGAGACACGGCCCAGACCCCUACGGAAGGCAGCAG